rnacentral:rRNA from 1 species
AAUGAACGUUGGCGGCGUGGAUUAGGCAUGCAAGUCGAGCGAGAAACCUCCUUCGGGAGGUGGAAAGCGGCGAAAGGGAGAGUAACGCGUGGAUACCUGCCCUCGGGUUCGGGAUAGCUGCUGGAAACGGCAGGUAAUACCGAAUGAUAUCUCCGGAUCAAAGGUGUGAUUCCGCCCGGGGAUGGGUCCGCGUCCUAUUAGCUAGUUGGUGAGGUAACGGCUCACCAAGGCAACGAUGGGUAGUGGGUGUGAGAGCACGACCCACCUCACUGGGACUGAGACACUGCCCAGACACCUACGGGUGGCUGCAGUCGAGGAUCUUCGGCAAUGGGCGCAAGCCUGACCGAGCGACGCCGCGUGCGGGAUGAAGGCCUUCGGGUUGUAAACCGCUGUCAGUGGGAAUGAAAUGCCAGGGGGCUCACCUCCUGGUUUGACAGACCCGCAGAGGAAGGACGGGCUAAGUUCGUGCCAGCCGCCGCGGUAAAAC